CUUGGAACCCUUCCUUGGCUCCUUGAAAGCAUUUUAAGAAUGUGCCAACCCAUAGUAAUAGUAGCAUUUAGAUAAAGAAAAUAUACUUUAUUUUUAGAGGCAAUAAGGUUAAGGGAUUUGCCCAUGGUCACACAAUUAAUAAAUAUACUUAUGUUUAAAAUUUGAGGUGCAAAGAGGAAUAAUAUCUUAAGCAAGUCACUCACCAUACUCUGGACAUCUUACACCCUAAGUUGUAGAGGAAGUACUGGCCUGCAUUGAAAAAGGGCAUUUCUUUAAAUAGAAGUUCCCCUAUGUCAACAAAGUCACUAGCCCAGUAAUAGCUCAAAAUUCCUCUAAGGCUUUUGCAAUACUCUGUACUUAAAGGAAUUUUCAUUAUUAAAGAGAUUUUCCAAAAUUAUAGUCCCUUUCUUCAAUGAGUAAAGUCACAGAAUGGGUAAUGCUAUCUAAGAAACUUCUUAUCACCUUGCCAGCAAGAAACAGAAGCACCAACUUUGACAAGGAGAAUCAAGCCAUUUGAAACUGAUGUAGAGAAUAGAGUGAGCAUUGGGCUCAUAGAUAUCCUCCAGAAAGACUGACACAUAGCAGCUCCAGUGAUUCUUGGCAGGCCAUCCCUAGAAAUAGAGGAAAAAGAAAGAGGAGGCAGAGAAAUGAAUAUGAGUCAGGAAGAUUUGGAUUCAAAUCUCACCCAUGACACUUACUAGCUAUGUGACCAUGUAGAAGAGAAUUUAUCCUUUCAGGCCCCCAAGCAACUCAUUGAGACUGAAGUUCUCUAACAAUCUGUAUCUGUAAAGGGAAUUUUCAGAACUGAGUUCAUCUGCACAAAUAAGAAGAGGGUGAGGGGAAGAGAGACCUUUUAUUUAUUGAUUCUCUUCCUUUUAAUGAACCAAUGAAAUCUCUAAUAUGAAUAUUUUUCUUUAUUCAAAAAUGAAAUUACCAAUUUUAUGAAAUAAUAUUCCAAAGUCUCUUAGGUAUUUAAAAUAUAUUCAUAUAUCAUAAAAAUAAAAUUGGUUUUUAUGUCGAUACACAAAGAUUCAUAAUAAAAGUUCUUUUGUGCAUCCACAAUAUCUAUUUGGAAAAGCAGUGUAAUUCAGAGCAUGGGUCUGUGAAGGACCCUAGGAAGAGGUUAAGUUGAAGAAAUUAUGGAUAUUUGGCUUAGACAAAAGUUAGGGGGACAUAACUGUUCAAAUAUUUGAAGGGCUUUGAUGUGUAAAAAGCCUGAAUUGCUUGGUCCCAGACUACAGAAUUGGGAGCAAUGAGUAGAAGUCUGUGAGAGGCAUUUACAUCUGACAUAAGGAAAAACUUCUGACCAAUCACAACUGACCAAAAUUGUUAUGGGAAAUCUUAGUAGGUAAAGGGUUCUUUCUCCCUUGGAGGUCUUCCAGAAAGAAGGGAAAUAUCAUGGAAGGGAUUCUUAUUACAGAUAGUCAGGAUUUGUGCUAUUUGAAGUUUUAAUUGUAUAAAAAUAUAGCUGGUUCUAGCCCCAAGGUUUUAUGUAGUACUAAUUCAAAUAAUGUGACCUGUUCAGGAGAGCCAUCAUUUGUACUAAUUGGGACUUAAUAAUUAGGGGACUGACUACAUGAGCUCUGUGGUUCUUUUCAAUUCUGUUGUUCUCUAGCUGGGAGACAAAUUCCAGUGGCAGGUUUACUAUUGACUUACUGUGUGACUUUGGGAAAAUCAUUUAACUUCACUGUAUUUUAAUUUCCUUACUUGUGAAAUGAGUAGACCUUCCACUUCUAACAUUCCAUGACUUUCUAUAUUCAAUUCUAAUGCUAAUUAGCCUUUGGUGGUUAAAUGCAAUUAAUUUUUUUGUGUGCUUUACAAUACAUUCAGAUUUUGAUACUCUUCAUUAUGACAGAACCAGUCGUGUCAUUGCUUAAGAAACUAAUGUAUUAUUAUCAAUUUUUU